UGGAGGAACAGCCAUGAAUCUUGAAAAGAUCAAUCUUCCAUUAACAGAAAGACGAAUAUUGAGAUAGUCAAAUAAAUCCAAAAAAGAAAGCAAAUGGAGCAACACCAGGAAAUUUCCAAGCAUCCAAGAAUCCAAUAGCAGCCAAAGAAUCUAAAUUUUCAGUCCCAAUAAGUCCUGCUUCCUCAGAUUCCACUUUCUCUGAAUUCUCCUCAUUAUCCACUUCUACACUCAUUUCAAUCUCCUUCCCUGGAAGCUCAAAUCCAAUAUCUUUAAGACUAGCAACAAGAAACAAAAAUAACAAAACCCCAACUAAAAUCAACAAAAACCCAGGCACCACAAAAUACCAACCCCAUCCAAAAUCCAAAAUACCAGAAGCCACAACUGAACCAAUAAUGUUUCCUACAGAAGAAUGUGAAUUCCAUAACCCCAUUGUUAAUCCUCUUUCUGCUUUCCCAAACCAGUUCCCAACUGCUGCCACCACGCAAGGCCAUCCCAUAGACUGAAACAAACGACACAAAAUCUCAAUUCCCACAAAAAUAAAUGUAUAUUAAACCAAUAGCUAAACCAAAUAUAAUACUGAGAACACCACUCACCAUCCCAGAAACAAGAAACAACCUCAAAUCAAUCCUAUCACCAACA
rnacentral:misc_RNA from 1 species